AUGUUUGCCUACGUCUCUUACAUCACUUGGUGAUUCUUCCUUAUCGUUUGUUCGUGGUGUCUUGGCAUUAUUUUACUGUCUAUAUAAAAUAAAAGAUUUUCACCAUUCAUAUCUCCACGGUCUAUAUAGAGGUAUGUUGGCUACCUGGUCGGGGGUUAAGGGAACGGUUUGGUAAGAGUCUUGCCAUUGUUCAGUGUAUAGAUCCUGCAAAGGACCUGGGUCAAAUUAGUAGGACCUCCUUCAAUACCCAACGGUAUUGGAUGGCGGGGGUCCAAACUCUUUGAUCCCCUCAUAAGUUAAACUACUAUUAAAACUUUAACCCGGCUACUUAGGACUGUAUCCCUGCUGACUCAGACUACUUAGCCGAGGGUAACGUCACCUUCAAAAGAGGGGCCUACCACAUUAUGCAUUAAUAAAUUAAUUAAUUAUCUUUCAAUAAUCUGACCCUUUAGGAUUGUAUCCUUGCUGACUCAAACUACUGGGUUGAGGGUAACAUCACUUUCAAAAGAGGGGCCUACUACAAUAACUAAGAUAAUCUCUUAAACAAGUGCAAAAGUGCAAAAAUAAUCAAAGGUUACACUACACACGAGUCGGAUCCAAGUGAUUCAUCUUAUCUAUCUGUUUUUAUUUUUAUUUUCAGCAUUUUAGUUAGUUUUAUUUUUCUAGUUUAAAAACCUUUUUCUAACAUUUUGAUUUGAUUAGACGUUGAGGAUAAACUGGUACUAA
rnacentral:lncRNA from 1 species